rnacentral:rRNA from 1 species
UGGGGAAUAUUGCACAAUGGGCGCAAGCCUGAUGCAGCCAUGCCGCGUGUAUGAAGAAGGCCUUCGGGUUGUAAAGUACUUUCAGCGGGGAGGAAGGGAGUAAAGUUAAUACCUUUGCCCAUUGACGUUACCCGCAGAAGAAGCACCGGCUAACUCCGUGCCAGCAGCCGCGGUAAUACGGAGGGUGCAAGCGUUAAUCGGAAUUACUGGGCGUAAAGCGCACGCAGGCGGUUGAUUGAGUCAGAUGUGAAAUCCCCGGGCUUAACCCGGGAAUUGCAUCUGAUACUGGUCAGCUAGAGUCUUGUAGAGGGGGGUAGAAUUCCAUGUGUAGCGGUGAAAUGCGUAGAGAUGUGGAGGAAUACCGGUGGCGAAGGCGGCCCCCUGGACAAAGACUGACGCUCAGGUGCGAAAGCGUGGGGAGCAAACAGG